UGUAGCACAUCUCAGGGAUCUGCAAAUCCCUCAAUAAAUAGUUCUCCUCCACAGUGCACGCGUAUGGAUAGUCUGUGGGGUUGUAGUAAUGCGUGUAAUCGGGGGCAGAGAAGCUCUCCUGCUGGCCUGGCCAACAGUGGGGCAGGCAGUAACAGUCCUGGAGGUUGCAGUGCGGGUAGUGCUCUGAGGAGAAGCCGUGAUGGCUGGACUCCAUCCUGGUGGGCGAGUCGUAGCAGGAGGAGGAGGAGGAGGAGGAGAACGAGUCCUGCGGCGAGUAGCUGUCGUGAUCUACGGGGCUGCAGAGCUUCCGUGACUCUGGCGGGGAGCCGGGAGCCUGAAAGAGAAGAAGACGUGCAGGAUGGAGAAAAGGCAACUAAAAAGUGAUAUCCAGAUGAAAAUCCAACUUGAAAACUCACCAGACAUGAUCUCUGCAGCUCCUCUUCUCCUGCAGCCGCGGUGCUCAGGCGCCACCUAGUGCUCAAACACCACCACGUCCCAUACCCCUUUGGACAUGAAGCCAACCUGAACAGUCCGUCCAGCAUUGAAGCCUAAUGACAUGUUUACUGCAACUGAUGAGAAUGAUAUAGAUACACACACACACACACACACACGCACCAACACACACACACACACACACACACACACACACACACACACACACACACACACACACACACAUACACAUAUACAAAUAUAUACAGGGGCUGAGCAGAGAUAUAUAGUUUAAGGAUUGUUUGAUUUUUACUGCGACUACAGUUGAUUUCUGGGAAAAGGAAAAACAUUGAGCUCACAGAAAAAUAAACCAUGACAAAUGAGUCAAAAGUGAGUGUUAAGACAAUAAACUUGAACAUGUCCGAUACACAUUUGUGAGUUGCUUGAUAAAAAAGUUCCAGGAAAGACAAUGUCUUAACAUGUAAAAAUCGUAUAUUAUAAUUUUGUGUUUAUGUCUAUGUAGCAUCUAUAACAGAUGUAUAAAGAUUUGACGAAUGUUUGAUAUCAUUUGAUUUAUCUAAUCAUGUCAUCAGUAGUUUCACACAUACAUUCUAAGAACUGGCCUGUGAACAAUCUGUAUACGUGUACAUAAUAAAUGAUUGCUAACACAUCUUAAA